rnacentral:rRNA from 1 species
GACGAACGCUGGCGGCGUGCUUAACACAUGCAAGUCGAACGGAAAGGCCCUGCUUUUGUGGGGUGCUCGAGUGGCGAACGGGUGAGUAACACGUGAGUAACCUGCCCUUGACUUUGGGAUAACUUCAGGAAACUGGGGCUAAUACCGGAUAGGUGCUCCUGCUGCAUGGUGGGGGUUGGAAAGUUUCGGCGGUUGGGGAUGGACUCGCGGCUUAUCAGCUUGUUGGUGGGGUAGUGGCUUACCAAGGCUUUGACGGGUAGCCGGCCUGAGAGGGUGACCGGCCACAUUGGGACUGAGGUACGGCGCAGACUCGUACGGGGGGCAGCAGUGGGGAGUAUUGCACAAUGGUGGGAAGCCUGAUGCAGCAACGCCGCGUGCGGGAUGACGGCAUUCGGGUUGUAAAACGCUUUCGCCUGUGACGAAGCGUGAGUGACGGUAAUGGAUAAAGAAGCACCGGCUAACUACGUG